GAAUGUCGGCCGUAACUAUAACGGUCCUAAGGUAGCGUAAUUCCUUGUCUGGUAAGUUCAGACGUGCACGAAUGGCGUAACGACUGGGGAACUGUCUCGGAGAUAUGCCCGGUGAAAAUGCAAUGGGGGUGAAGAUGCCCCCUACCUGCAGUUAGACGAAAAGACCCCGGAAGCUUUACUAUAUCUUGAUAUUGAGUUUAGAUUUUGGAUGCGUAGCGUAGGUGGGAGGCUUUGAAGUUGUCCUUUUGGGGACAAUGGAGCCGUCAGUGAAAUACCACUCUUUCUUGAUCUAAAUUCUAACCUGUACGGAAAAACCGUAUGGAGACAGUAUCUGGUGGGUAGUUUAAGUGGGGCGCUUGCCUCCUAAAGAGUAACGGAGGCGCUUAUUAAGGUUAGCUAGGCGCGAAUGGAAACCGUGCCGAUAGUGUAAUGGCAAAAGCUAGCUUGACUGCGAGCGGGACAUCGCAAGCAGAGUGGAAACACGAACAUAGUGAACCGACCAUCCGCAUUAGAUGCGGUGGGAGAUUAACGGAUAAAAGCUACUCCGGGGAUAACAGGCUAGUUCCGCCCAAGAGUUCAUAUCGACGGCGGAGUUCGGCACCUCGAUGUCGGCUCAACUUAUCCUGGGGCUGGAGAAGGUCCCAAGGGUUCGGCUGUUCGCCGAUUAAAAAGUUACGCGAGCUGGGUUCAANNNNNNNNNNNNCCAGAUGCUAAAAUUUAUUUUUGGCUUUUGAACGGUUUGAAUCAAGUUCACGAUAUUGAGAAGUAGUGUUAUAAGUUUUUUCGUUUAUGAAAAAAGAUAGAAUCAAUCAAAUCACGGCGGCCUCUUUUUAGUAAUAAUUGGAGGACCAGUCAACUUAUAUCGGUGAAACCUAUUUUAAAUAAAUAGGCAAUACCGAGGGAAGUUUAAAAACACCCGUAGAGACUAAAUGUUGACUAUCCAAAUUUAAUAAAAAUUUGGAUAAAGUUAUAGUCCAAUGCAUUUGGCAACAAAUGAUAUCAUGCGUGAGACAGGUUGGUCUCCUAUCUACUGCAGGCGUUUUGAUUCUUGAAGAGAUUUGCUCCUAGUACGAGAGGACCGGAGUGAACUAACCUCUGGNNNNNNNNNCAGCUGUCCUGCCAAGGGCACUGCUGGGUAGCUAUGUUGGGAAAGGAUAACCUCUGAAAGCAUCUAAGAGGGAAGCCAACUCUAAGAUUAAGAAUCUUUAAGACUCCUGAAAGAUGAUCAGGUUGAUAGGCUCUAAGUGUAAGCGCAGUAAUGCGUUUAGCUGAGGAGUACUAAUAGUUGUUUUC
rnacentral:rRNA from 1 species